CCAAAACCUCUCUCUCAGUCAAAGCAUUAGACGUGGCCUGCACUAGUGGUACUGUUGGAUGAAGCUGAUCUAGAACAUCCGGCAGAACUCCAAAACUAUCUUGAAAACUCUCUGAUUCAGAGGCUCCAGUGCUGAAAGAAUUACAAGAAGUAUUAAGCCAAGGAUUGGUCUCGAGGUCACCAGGAUGAUCAGGAAGCAAUGACACAUCUCCAUCAUUUAGAGAGGGAUUCCAGAGAUCACCCUCUUCGUUGGCGGCAGUAGUGAAUUCCAACUGAUCUGGGACUAAUCGCCUCAUGUUAAGCUAAAGUGGGUGCUCCACUCUCACAAAUUCACACACGAUAGCUGCAACCAGAUUGUGGGGGUAUAUAUAUAUAUUUUCCUGGGACUUAAUUGAGACGCCCGCGUCGGGAAACGAAGAAAUCGCAAAGAGAAAUGCUAUUUUGUACACCAGCAUCCCACUGCUAUCCCACUCAACCUACGUGGAUUUUAAUUUUAAUUUUUAAUUUUUUAGUUUCUUCCUUUAGAAUCCCAAACGUCUCUCCCUCUACGAAACCCCCCUCUCUCUCUUCUCUCUCUUCUCAGUUCUCUCUCUCUUUGUUUUCUUCACCGGCAAAUCUCUCUCUCCGGCGGUUUCUUCCUUUAGAAUCCCAAACGUGCCUCUCCCUCUACGAGACCCCCCUCUCUCUCUUCUCUCUCUUCUCAGUUCUCUCUCUCUUUGUUUUCUUCACCGGCAAAUCUCUCUCUCCGGCGGCCGGCAGUCCUUCUUUCGACGGAAUCGCUGCCGGAUUUCGCCGGAAAAUCUCUCUCUGCCAGAUCUGCCCGGAACUUGACGGACACGCUCUCUCUCACCGGAUCUUGACGGAAACGCUCUCUCUCGACGGAUAUUGCCGAAGCUCGCCGAAAAUCUCUCUCUGGACGGAAUCUCUCUAUGCCAGAUCUCGCCGGAAACAGUUUCUCUCGCCGGAUCUAUCUCGCCGGAGCUACAAAUAGUGAAAUGAUGGUGAUAGAAGAGAAUAGCAAGCAUGGGAAUGGAAGUUGCUCAAGGUGGAGUACAAUUGGCGAUUGAAAAAGAAAAACAACCGGAUGAAAAAAAACUAUCAGAUUUAAGAGAGUUAAAUCUUAAGAGAUUUAAGAGAGUUAAAUCUGUAGAAUUUUGAAGCAGUGGUGGCUGCCCGCAAAGCACAUGAUAGUACGCCUCAAGAUGUCGAGAUUUUAGAUUUUACUUCUUAAAAGUGAAAGUGUUCCAAAUGAGACUAAUUAUUUUUACACCACUUUGAUUCAAGUCUAUUGUCUUAGUAUGUAAAACUCAUGCAUGUAUAACCAAUAUAUAUAGAACCUACACCCUUGUGUUUUGGUAUAGAGUUAAA